CAAAGGAGCAAUCCGCUGAAAGAUGGGCUCGCGUCCGAUUAGAUAGUUGGGGGGGUAACGGCCCACCAAGUCGACGAUCGGUAGCCGGACUGAGAGGUUGAACGGCCACAUUGGGACUGAGACACGGCCCAGGCUCCUACGGGAGGCAGCAGUGAGGGAUAUUGGUCAAUGGGGGAAACCCUGAACCAGCAACGCCGCGUGAGGGAAGACGGUUUUCGGAUUGUAAACCUCUGUCCUCUGUGAAGAUAAUGACGGUAGCAGAGGAGGAAGCUCCGGCUAACUACGUGCCAGCAGCCGCGGUAAUACGUAGGGAGCGAGCGUUGUCCGGAUUUACUGGGUGUAAAGGGUGCGUAGGCGGGUAAGCAAGUCAGAAGUGAAAUCCAUGGGCUUAACCCAUGAACUGCUUUUGAAACUGUUUAUCUUGAGUGAAGUAGAGGUAGGCGGAAUUCCCGGUGUAGCGGUGAAAUGCGUAGAGAUCGGGAGGAACACCAGUGGCGAAGGCGGCCUACUGGGCUUUAACUGACGCUGAAGCACGAAAGCGUGGGUAGCAAACAGGAUUAGAUACCCUGGUAGUCCAUGCCGUAAACGAUGAUUACUAGGUGUGGGGGGACUGACCCCCUCC
rnacentral:rRNA from 1 species